rnacentral:rRNA from 1 species
UUAUCGGAGAGUUUGAUCCUGGCUCAGGACGAACGCUGGCGGCGUGCCUAAUACAUGCAAGUCGAGCGGACAGAUGGGAGCUUGCUCCCUGAUGUUAGCGGCGGACGGGUGAGUAACACGUGGGUAACCUGCCUGUAAGACUGGGAUAACUCCGGGAAACCGGGGCUAAUACCGGAUGGUUGUUUGAACCGCAUGGUUCAAACAUAAAAGGUGGCUUCGGCUACCACUUACAGAUGGACCCGCGGCGCAUUAGCUAGUUGGUGAGGUAA